rnacentral:RNase_P_RNA from 1 species
GAGAGGGAGAGUGCGGCUGACGGUGGCCGGGAGACCGGCCGCUGAGGAAAGUCCCCCCACCACCUGGGCACGCAGCCAUACGCAAGUAUGGGUGGCGAGAGUCACGGCACUGGCACAGAAACGACAGCGAGACGUGCGGCAACGCACAAGAUAACCCGCUGAGCCGACGGGCAGGAUGCGAUGAAACGGCGAAUCCCUGCGGGUGCAAGCCAGAACAGGGUAUUGUGGCUGCUCAGGCACGACUACCCGGGUAUGGCGCCAAGCUGAAUGCCGCACCGAACAGAAGGGGGCUUACUCCUCCCACUC